rnacentral:rRNA from 1 species
GAUGAACGCUGGCGGCGCGCCUAACACAUGCAAGUCGAACGGCACCCACCUUCGGGUGGAAGCGAGUGGCGAACGGCUGAGUAACACGUGGAGAACCUGCCCCCUCCCCCGGGAUAGCCGCCCGAAAGGACGGGUAAUACCGGAUACCCCGGGGUGCCGCAUGGCACCCCGGCUAAAGCCCCGACGGGAGGGGAUGGCUCCGCGGCCCAUCAGGUAGACGGCGGGGUGACGGCCCACCGUGCCGA